GCGUCAUUAUCAACCAUCAAGCCUGGCUUGUCGUUGGACUCUGGUCGUUCAAAAGACCGGUCCAAAAGAUAAUGGACGGGACCUGUUGGCCCUAGAUGCAACGAGCUUUACAGCACGCAUCGAAAGGUCGCCGGCCCCGUCUUUAAACCCCAUUUUCUCAGGUUGACCUCGGAUCAGGUAGGAAUACCCGCUGAACUUAA
rnacentral:misc_RNA from 1 species